UACGAAGGGGGCUAGCGUUGCUCGGAAUCACUGGGCGUAAAGGGUGCGUAGGCGGGUCGUUUAAGUCAGGGGUGAAAUCCUGGGAAGCUCAACUCCAGAACUGCCUUUGAAUACUGAAGAUCUUGAGUUCGGGAGAGGUGAGUGGAACUGCGAGUGUAGAGGUGAAAAUUCGUAGAUAUUCGCAAGAACACCAGUGGCGAAGGCGGCUCACUGGCCCGAUACUGACGCUGAGGCACGAAAAGCGUGGGGAGCAAACAGGG
rnacentral:rRNA from 1 species